AUGGGGCUGGGGUGUGGUGGGGCUGCCUCCUGGGUUCCCUCAUUGCCCACCCACCUGCCUGGCAUCGAGGACAUCUUUGGGAGCAGGUGCAGGUAUCACUGGUCCUGUUGGGAAGGACCAUGGAUUGGGGUUGUGGAAGAUUUCAGAGACCAGACGACGCCAGCUCCCCUUCCAUUGAGCCUUCAAGAUGGACCAGAGAGAGUAAAUAUUUUGGGCUCUGUGGGCCAGUCUCUCUUUCAGUGCUCAGCCCUGCCAUACUAUGGCAAAGGUACGACAUGGAAAUGGACGGGCACUGUGGUGUGGGUGUGUCCUUCGGACUUUAUUUGCGGAUGCUGACAUUUGAAUUGCAUAUCAUUUGCACGUACCAUGAAUCUGCUUUUGACGUUUCCCCGCCACUUAAAACCAGAAACUAUGAAUGUGUAAACGAUGAGUGAAUAAAAUGUGUCAUUGGUGGACUGUGAUUUGUUGAUCUCCAGAGCCCAUGCUGGCAACUGCCUGUACUUCAUUCAUUCAGGGAAUAUUACGGAGGCUGGUAGUUUUCUAGGGCAGAUGGAGGUGUGACAUUCCAGGAAAUAACAAUCUCCUGGGCAAAACAAACCAGGAAACAAAAUGAGCGAGGAUAUUUCCGAUGGUGGAAAUGCUACCAAGGAAAUACCAUGGGGCCAUAGACCCGGGACCAGAGGGCAGGACGCUUUCUUUUGGGUCCUCAGAGAAGGUGAUGCUUGCGGUCUUCCAAACACCCCCUUUGGUCAGCUCCCUGGCUGUGGCCUGCUAUGGGGUAGGGCUUGAUGAUAAAUGGACUGGUUCUUGCUUGGUUCCUAGGAGAGGGGUCUUCUACUGUCCCAUCUUUCCAGUCCUGAGUGCUGAGUGGGGAUGAGGGUUGGGGUGGGGAGAAUUUCAGCUCCUGCCUUUAGAGUCAGGGGUCAGUUUUCCAGUGUGAUUCUUCUACUCUCAGAUGGCUUCCUCUGCCCAGGAACUGUCCUUCUGGCUCUCCUG
rnacentral:lncRNA from 1 species